rnacentral:tRNA from 1 species
GCGCCCGUAGCUCAGCUGGAUAGAGCGCUGCCCUCCGGAGGGCAGAGGUCUCAGGUUCGAAUCCUGUCGGGCGUACCA